ACCUCCGGAAGGAUCAUUG
rnacentral:rRNA from 1 species